rnacentral:rRNA from 1 species
CCCCUAGAUGUUCUGGGCCGCACGCGCGCUACACUGAACAGUUCAACAAGUCUUAACCUUGGCCGAUAGGUCUGGGUAAUCUUUGAACGCUGUUCGUGAUUGGGAUAGACCUUUGCAAUUAUGGGUCUUCAACGAGGAAUUCCUAGUAAACGCAAGUCAUCAGCUUGCAUUGAUUACGUCCCUGCCCUUUGUACACACCGCCCGUCGCACCUACCGAUUGAAUGGUCCGGUGAAAUCUCGGGACUGGCGCGAGGCGGAGCAAUCUGACGAGCGCCGGAAACUUGAUUAAACCUUACCAUUUAGAGGAAGGUGAAGUCGUAACA